GUGUCUGAGAGGAUUCGCUGGUGAGAUCUACUGUGUCCUGCUCCUUCCUGUCCUGCGUUUGAUUCAACAGACCUCACCACAAAGGACUGCAGUGAAAAAGGCGGCAUGUGCAUGAUUUGCUAGCAUACGGAGCAGAUGUGUCUGUGAAAAUGCGCUGGUGAGAUCUACUGUGUCCUGCUCUCCCUGUCCCACAGCUUCUCCACAGAAGACAGAAGUGCUGAAUAAAUGGCAACAAUGGAUGGUCAAGAGAAACCUCUCAGAAAUCAUCUGCAAGAUUUUGAACAUCUCAAAGACAAACUGUUUGAAUAUCAGCACGAAGGGUUAAUGUUCCUUUGCAAUGCAUACAAAGAGGGAAAGAAAGGUGUCAUUUUAGCAGAUGAAAUGGGACUAGGAAAGUCUAUUCAGGCAAUAGCAUUUCUGGCCAACAUGAACAGCCAAAUGAUGUCACAAGAACAGCCAAGAGUCCCAAGCACAUUGCUAGUUGUGCCUUUAAAUUUAGUGGAUGAUUGGGUCAGCAAAAUUCACAAGUGGGCACCCUGGAUGAGAUGUUUCAAAUACCAUCAUUCAGAACAGAAA